AUUGAACGCUGGCGGCAGGCCUAACACAUGCAAGUCGAGCGGAUGAAGGGAGCUUGCUCCUGGAUUCAGCGGCGGACGGGUGAGUAAUGCCUAGGAAUCUGCCUGGUAGUGGGGGAUAACGUCCGGAAACGGGCGCUAAUACCGCAUACGUCCUGAGGGAGAAAGUGGGGGAUCUUCGGACCUCACGCUAUCAGAUGAGCCUAGGUCGGAUUAGCUAGUUGGUGGGGUAAAGGCCUACCAAGGCGACGAUCCGUAACUGGUCUGAGAGGAUGAUCAGUCACACUGGAACUGAGACACGGUCCAGACUCCUACGGGAGGCAGCAGUGGGGAAUAUUGGACAAUGGGCGAAAGCCUGAUCCAGCCAUGCCGCGUGUGUGAAGAAGGUCUUCGGUUUGUAAAGCACUUUAAGUUGGGAGGAAGGGCAGUAAGUUAAUACCUUGCUGUUUUGACGUUACCAACAGAAUAAGCACCGGCUAACUUCGU
rnacentral:rRNA from 1 species